GGGCGUUAAGUUGCAGGGUAUAGACCCGAAACCCGGUGAUCUAGCCAUGGGCAGGUUGAAGGUUGGGUAACACUAACUGGAGGACCGAACCGACUAAUGUUGAAAAAUUAGCGGAUGACCUGUGGCUGGGGGUGAAAGGCCAAUCAAACCGGGAGAUAGCUGGUUCUCCCCGAAAGCUAUUUAGGUAGCGCCUCGUGAAUUCAUCUCCGGGGGUAGAGCACUGUUUCGGCUAGGGGGCCAUCCCGGCUUACCAACCCGAUGCAAACUGCGAAUACCGGAGAAUGUUAUCACGGGAGACACACGGCGGGUGCUAACGUCCGUCGUGAAGAGGGAAACAACCCAGACCGCCAGCUAAGGUCCCAAAGUCAUGGUUAAGUGGGAAACGAUGUGGGAAGGCCCAGACAGCCAGGAUGUUGGCUUAGAAGCAGCCAUCAUUUAAAGAAAGCGUAAUAGCUCACUGGUCGAGUCGGCCUGCGCGGAAGAUGUAACGGGGCUAAACCAUGCACCGAAGCUGCGGCAGCGAAUCGGGGCAGGGUGAGUCGACCCCUAAGGCGAGGCCGAAAGGCGUAGUCGAUGGGAAACGGGUUAAUAUUCCCGUACUUGGUGUUACUGCGAAGGGGGGACGGAGAAGGCUAUGUUGGCCGGGCGACGGUUGUCCCGGUUUAAGCGUGUAGG
rnacentral:rRNA from 1 species